CCUACGGGAGGCAGCAGUGAGGAAUAUUGGUCAAUGGGCGCGAGCCUGAACGAGCAAUGUCGCGUGAAGGAUGAAUGCCCUACGGGUUGUAAACUUCUUUUAUAAAGGAAUAGAGUGAGGCACGUGUGCCUUUUUGUAUGUACUUUAUGAUUAAGGAUCGGCUAACUCCGUGCCAGCAGCCGCGGUAAUACGGAGGGUCCGAGCGUUAUCCGGAUAUAUUGGGUUGAAAGGGAGCGUAGAUGGGUUGUUAAGUCAGUUGUGAAAGUUUGCGGCUCAACCGUAAAAAUGCAAUUGAUACUGGCAGUCUUGAGUACAGUUGAGGUAGGCGGAAUUCGUGGUGUAGCGGUGAAAUGCUUAGAUAUCACGAAGAACUCCGAUUGCGAAGGCAGCUUACUAAACUGCCACUGACAUUGAUGCUCGAAAGUGUGGGUAGCAAACAGGAUUAGAUACCCUAGUAGUC
rnacentral:rRNA from 1 species